UACGGGGGGUGCAAGCGUUGCUCGGAAUCACUGGGCGUAAAGCGUCCGCAGGCGGCUUGAUACGUCGGGUGUGAAAGCCCGGGGCUCAACCCCGGAACUGCAUUCGAAACUGUCUCGCUUGAGUACGGGAGAGGGUCGUGGAAUUCCUGGUGUAGAGGUGAAAUUCGUAGAUAUCAGGAGGAACACCGGUGGCGAAAGCGGCGACCUGGCCCGAUACUGACGCUCAUGGACGAAAGCGUGGGGAGCAAACAGG
rnacentral:rRNA from 1 species